AUUGAACGCUGGCGGCAUGCCUUACACAUGCAAGUCGAACGGCAGCAUAGGAGCUUGCUCCUGAUGGCGAGUGGCGAACGGGUGAGUAAUAUAUCGGAACGUGCCCUAGAGUGGGGGAUAACUAGUCGAAAGACUAGCUAAUACCGCAUACGAUCUACGGAUGAAAGUGGGGGAUCGCAAGACCUCAUGCUCCUGGAGCGGCCGAUAUCUGAUUAGCUAGUUGGUGGGGUAAAAGCUCACCAAGGCGACGAUCAGUAGCUGGUCUGAGAGGACGACAAGCACAACUGGGACUGAGACACGGCCCAGACUCCUACGGGAGGAAGCAGUGGGGAAUUUUGGACAAUGGGGGCAACCCUGAUCCAGCAAUGCCGCGUGAGUGAAGAAGGCCUUCGGGUUGUAAAGCUCUUUUGUCAGGGAAGAAACGGUUCUGGAUAAUACCUGGGACUAAUGACGGUACCUGAAGAAUAAGCACCGGCUAACUACGUGCCAGCAGCCGCCGUAA
rnacentral:rRNA from 1 species